UACGUAGGGGGCAAGCGUUGUCCGGAAUCAUUGGGCGUAAAGCGCGUGUAGGCGGCCAGAAAAGUCCGCUGUGAAAACUCGAGGCUCAACUUCGAGCUGUCGGUGGAAACUUUCUGGCUAGAGUCCGGAAGAGGAGAAUGGAAUUCCUGGUGUAGCGGUGAAAUGCGCGGAUAUCAGGAAGAACACCCGUGGCGAAGGCGGUUCUCUGGGACGGUACUGACGCUGAGACGCGAAAGCGUGGGGAGCGAACAGG
rnacentral:rRNA from 1 species